UACGUAGGCAGCAAGCGUUGUUCGGAGUUACUGGGCGUAAAGGGUGUGUAGGCGGUCGGAUAAGUGUGGUGUGAAAUCUCCCGGCUCAACUGGGAGGGUGCGCUACAAACUGUCUGGCUAGAGUGCGGGAUGGGAAAGUGGAAUUCCUGGUGUAGCGGUGAAAUGCGUAGAUAUCAGGAGGAACACCGGCGGUGUAGACGGCUUUCUGGACCGUAGCUGACGCUGAGACACGAAAGCGUGGGUAGCAAACAGG
rnacentral:rRNA from 1 species